rnacentral:rRNA from 1 species
AUUGAACGCUGGCGGCAGGCUUAACACAUGCAAGUCGAGCGGAGAUGAGGUGCUUGCACCUUAUCUUAGCGGCGGACGGGUGAGUAAUGCUUAGGAAUCUGCCUAUUAGUGGGGGACAACAUUCCGAAAGGAAUGCUAAUACCGCAUACGCCCUACGGGGGAAAGCAGGGGAUCUUCGGACGUUGCGCUAAUAGAUGAGCCUAAGUCGGAUUAGCUAGUUGGGGGGGUAAAGGCCUACCAAGGCGACGAUCUGUAGCGGGUCUGAGAGGAUGAUCCGCCACACUGGGACUGAGACGCGGCCCAGACUCCUACGGGAGGCAGCGGUGGGGAAUAUUGGACAAUGGGCGGAAGCCUGAUCCAGCCAUGCCGCGUGUGUGAAGAAGGCCUUUUGGUUGUAAAGCACUUUAAGCGAGGAGGAGGCUACCUGGAUUAAUACUCUAGGAUAGUGGACGUUACUCGCAGAAUAAGCACCGGCUAACUCUGUGCCAGCCGCCGCAGUAAUAC